rnacentral:rRNA from 1 species
UGGCGCUCGGGUGCGUAACGCGUGGGAAUCUGCCCCUUGGUUCGGAAUAACAGUUGGAAACGACUGCUAAUACCGGAUGAUGACGUAUGUCCAAAGAUUUCACGCCGAGGGAUGAGCCCGCGUAGGAUUAGGUAGUUGGUGUGGUAAAGGCGCACCAAGCCGACGAUCCUUAGCUGGUCUGAGAGGAUGAUCAGCCACACUGGGACUGAGACACGGCCCAGACUCCUACGGGAGGCAGCAGUGGGGAAUAUUGGACAAUGGGCGAAAGCCUGAUCCAGCAAUGCCGCGUGAGUGAUGAAGGCCUUAGGGUUGUAAAGCUCUUUUACCCGGGAUGAUAAUGACAGUACCGGGAGAAUAAGCUCCGGCUAACUCCGUGCCAGCAGCCGCGGUAAUACGGAGGGAGCUAGCGUUAUUCGGAAUUACUGGGCGUAAAGCGCACGUAGGCGGCUUUGUAAGUAAGAGGUGAAAGCCCAGAGCUCAACUCUGGAAUUGCCUUUUAGACUGCAUCGCUUGAAUCAUGGAGAGGUCAGUGGAAUUCC